rnacentral:rRNA from 1 species
UACGGGGGGAGCAAGCGUUGUUCGGAUUUACUGGGCGUAAAGGGCGCGUAGGCGGCCACCGCAAGUCAGUUGUGAAAUCUCUGGGCUUAACCCAGAACGGUCAGCUGAUACUGCGGGGCUAGAGUGCAGAAGGGGCAACUGGAAUUCUCGGUGUAGCGGUGAAAUGCGUAGAUAUCGAGAGGAACACCUGCGGCGAAGGUGGGUUGCUGGGCUGACACUGACGCUGACAGCGCGAAAGCUAGGGGAGCGAACGGG